GAUGAACGCUGGCGGCGUGCCUAAUACAUGCAAGUCGAGCGAACAGAUGAGGAGCUUGCUCCUCUGACGUUAGCGGCGGACGGGUGAGUAACACGUGGAUAACCUACCUAUAAGACUGGGAUAACUUCGGGAAACCGGAGCUAAUACCGGAUAAUAUAUUGAACCGCAUGGUUCAAUAGUGAAAGACGGUUUUGCUGUCACUUAUAGAUGGAUCCGCGCCGCAUUAGCUAGUUGGUAAGGUAACGGCUUACCAAGGCAACGAUGCGUAGCCGACCUGAGAGGGUGAUCGGCCACACUGGAACUGAGACACGGUCCAGACUCCUACGGGAGGCAGCAGUAGGGAAUCUACCGCAAUGGGCGAAAGCCUGACGGAGCAACGCCGCGUGAGUGAUGAAGGUCUUCGGAUCGUAAAACUCUGUUAUUAGGGAAGAACAAAUGUGUAAGUAACUAUGCACGUCUUGACGGUACCUAAUCAGAAAGCCACGGCUAACUACGUG
rnacentral:rRNA from 1 species